rnacentral:lncRNA from 1 species
AACUCCAUGAUCCACUAUUCGACUAAUAUCAGGUCAGUUGUUCCAGUAAAUAAUGGUGGGUCCAUCCUCUUAAAUCUUUCAAUGAGUCUUCCAUUAUUUUCCUCCAUCAGCUAGGUGUUACUAUUAGUAGUAUUUUGGCUAUGGACUAUGUGUUGACUUACCACCAUAGCCAAACUUUUGACUAUACGCAUGAGUUUAUCUAGACUCUACUCAAUUCGGUCUUUCCAAACCUAAUGUGCCUGCUCUCUCGAUAUCCUUACCAAUUCCUACAUUCAUGAACUUCAAAUUUAGAGGCAUUUCUCUAUGUUUCACAACUCUAUCGAAGUCUCAUGUAACACUAAGCCUCGUAUUCAAUGGAUGUCCUAUAACCAUGCUUUGAUACCACUUGUCACAGACCACACUCGUCUUAUAGGUUAAUGAUCGGAGCAUACUUACUUAAAUCAU